rnacentral:lncRNA from 1 species
CUAGCUCUGAGGACUGGCCCCUUAGCUUUAACUGGAUGUUUGAAGAAUGUGAAGAUGCACGGUGAAGGCUCCUCUACAGGCGUAGAGAUAGUGUCAUGUUUGACCUGCAACUGCGUUAUUUGUUUAAAUCAUUUGUUUUAAAAAAGAGUUUUCUUAGGUGACAUUGUGGUUAUAUUAGAAGAAAAAAGGGAUAGGAGCCCAUAGUACCUCAGUGCUUUUCUGGCAUUGAUAAAUCACCAGGAGCAAGCAAUCUAUAAUUUCAAUUAAUAUUGCAUUUUCAAGAAUAGG